AACAUGUUGAUGUGAAACACACGAGGGAGCUGAAAUAUGAUCCUGGCUCAUAACUUGAUACAGGAACUUGUAUUCAGCAGCAGACGGGGUUUUUGUAUCAGUCUGUUUCACUGUGGGGUGUACAUCUUUGGCUCUGGGACUAAACUGUUUGUAACAGAUGAGCAGGUGGUGAAGCCCGUGGUGAGCGUGUACCCAGCAGCAUCGAGAGCUCAGCUGGAGGAGAAGAGCUCUCUACUGUGUGUGGCCUCAGCCAUGUUUCCUCCUCUGGUCCAGAUCUCCUGGAAAAAACAGAAAGGGAGUGGUCCUCUGCAGGAUGUGAACCCUGCUGAUGUGAAGCGGCAGGAGCUGAGGGAGUCUGGGUGCAGCGCCUCCAUCUUGACGAUCCCUCAGAUAUCCUAUAAAUACCUCUGCUCAGUGCAGCAUCAGGGGGGCACAGUGAAUGCUCAAACAGAAAUAGAGGUCUCAGUUCCUACGACCUCCAGUCCUCCAGAGAGAGAGCCGACUGACAGGUUCCGUUUUAGGGCCGAUUUAGUUUGUAUUUCGAUGUCUCCAAGGGGAGCUGUUUGGAGGAGAAAUGUUAGGACCAAUCUGUCUGCAGGCUGGAACAUUUGGGUUGAGCCGCAUUGGUGAGCGCACACGGCUAGGGGCUUUUCCACCACAAUUUAACACAGAUUAUCUCCUGCUAACCUCCGAGAGAGAUUUCUGAAGAAGUCAGGUGAGACAACGUGUAAAUACAGCAAGAAAUAUUCAGGACAAUUCAUUACGAUUGAGCAGGCGGAUACGAUGGACAUGUUGAACUACAUGUAGUGUUGAUAAAAAAGCAACAACUGUCAUCAUAACAAUAACUUUAUUUAUAUCGCACUUAUCUAAACAAGGUUACAAAGUCCUUUACAGAAUGAAGACAAUGAAAAAUAAAACAUUUAAUUUAUAUAUAUAUUUAAUUUUUUAAUUUUUUAUAUUUUUAUAUAUAAGUGCUUCACAAAAUACACAGGAUUAAACUUUGGUGAGCAAAGAAAUUAUGAAUAAGACUUAAUUAAAUUAAUUAAAGCAGGACAUUAGUUUCUACUCAAUCCUUAAAAAAAGGCCUUCGUAUAAAAAUGUUUUUUAAAGCAAACAUUUAAAAACAGUUACAGGAGUUUGUCAGCUUAAUGUCUUCAGGUAGAGAGGUCCAGAGCUUAGGGGCUCUGAUGGCAAAUGCCUUGUCGCCCUUUGUUACAGACUUGACCUAGGAACAACGAAUAAAGGUGCUCUUGAUGAUCUGAGAUCUCUGUUUGGAGCAUAAGGAAUUAAAAGUUCUGUAAUGUAAGGGGGGAGGGGGGGCAGACCCUGUUGUGUUUUAAAAGUUACUAAAAGAAUCUUAAGAUCAAUCCUGUAUGUAACGGGCAGCCAACGGAGGGGGGAAAGGAUCGGGGUAAUGUAAGACCUGCGAUUUGGUUUAAAUCCGGGCAGCAGCUUUCUGCACUUGCUGGAGUCUAGCCAUCGAGGACUGACUGAGGCGUGAAGUGAAAAGAGCGUUGCAGUAGUCCAAAGGUGAAAAGAUAAAGGCGUGAAUAAGCUUUUAUAGGUCAGGGAAAGAAUGAGUUUAUUUAAUUUAACCAAUGUGUCAUUACAUCGGACUCUGUUGCUCUGUCGGCCAUUUUACGACACGUCCUGCCUCUGACACCCUCCCUCCGGUCCAACAGGGAUAGUCUCCCACUGUGAGGUUCAACUUUGAACAAACAACUCAGGGGCAGAUUGUCCUGAAAUUUUCUAGAUAUUUUCUGGAGUGUGUGUGGAAAAGGCUAAAGAAAGCUCGGUGUGGUUUGGUGUUGGAAAUUAACCUGAAAGCAAAGACAAAUUUAAUGAACCAAACAUUCGUUACUUAAUUUAUUCUUCUGUGUUUUUCUGUUAUUUACGCCGACCGUUUAUCAAAGCAGCUAAACAUUUUAGCAGCUGUCUGUUCUUAAUCUUUUCUCCUGCUCCUGCAGCCCAGGCACCUACAGCCAAACCAGCCUUACAGGACGCGGGAGAAGGAGUGUCCUUUCAGUCUCAGUGCAAGGUGAAGCUGCUGACGCUGCUGUACACGGUGCUGAUACUGAAGAGUCUGGUGUACUGCUGUGGACUCUCUCUGCUGAGGAUCUUCAGAAACAACAAACCGUCCAUCCACUGAACAUGUGCUGACUGAUUGUCUUCUGAUGUUAUGUGCCGUAGUGUUUUUGUAGUUUUUAUGAAAGAAGCUUGUUUGUGAAAAAGUAAAGCUCUAUGCUGAUGA